UUUUUGUUGCUGAGUACUUCCCAUGGUGGAUACUAGCCUUUCAUUGUUAAUCUUUAUUAUGCUAUGGAUGAUUGGAACAAUCAAUAAUCAACUGGGGGAUGUAAUUAGAAUUCAGUUUUGUAGGAUUUUUUCUUUUGGGUAGGUAUGAUUUGUGAUUGUAUGCAUGGUGUGAGGACGUGUCCCUGGGGAUGUGGAUUACAAACGAAAAAUAUAAAUUUCAGUAAAAGAAGCUACAUAAAAUUUACUGUCUACCAUUGUUAAAAUCUGUUGAGACAAUUUCUUUGGAUUUUUAGUUUUCAUUCCUAUUGUCAUUUUGUAUAGAAUGCAGAUAACAAAGAUGAAAA
rnacentral:misc_RNA from 1 species